CGUAGGAUGCAAGCGUUGUCCGGAUUUACUGGGCGUAAAGCGCGCGCAGGCGGCACACCAAGUACCCUAUGAAAUCUCCUUGCUCAACGGGGAGGGUGUUGGGUAGACUGGUGAGCUAGAGGACGGUAGAGGGGGGUAGAAUUGCUGGUGUAGCGGUGAAAUGCGUAGAGAUCAGCAGGAAUACCCGUGGCGAAGGCGGCCCCCUGGGCCGUACCUGACGCUGAGGCGCGAAGGCUAGGGGAGCGAACGGGAUUAGAUACCCCGGUAGUCCUAGCAGUAAACGAUGGCCACUAGGUGUGGGGGGUGUUGACCCCUCCUGUGCCGAAGCUAACGCAUUAAGUGGCCCGCCUGGGGAGUACGGUCGCAAGACUA
rnacentral:rRNA from 1 species